rnacentral:rRNA from 1 species
CAGUAGCCACGGUAAUACGAAGGGUGCAAGCGUUACUCGGAAUUACUGGGCGUAAAGCGUGCGUAGGUGGUGGUUUAAGUCCGUUGUGAAAGCCCUGGGCUCAACCUGGGAAUUGCAGUGGAUACUGGAUCACUAGAGUGUGGUAGAGGAUAGUGGAAUUUCCGGUGUAGCGGUGAAAUGCGUAGAGAUCGGAAGGAACAUCUGUGGCGAAGGCGACUAUCUGGGCCAACACUGACACUGAGGCACGAAAGCGUGGGGAGCAAACAGGAUUAGAUACCCCGGUAGUCCCUGUCUCUUAUAC